GCAGCAAAAUAGAUUUAAGUCAUUGUUUCUCUGGAGCGCAGUGAAGUGGAUUGAAGCAACGAGACACAGCAGAACAGAACGAGGCUACUUGAAGAAGAAAAGCACCAAAAGAAGCCAAGGCUCGGCAAGCCCGGGCAAAUUUGGUCUUUCUUGGUCUUUGCUCUGUUUUCGUUACACGACAACGAGCAAAGAGGGGCAGCUGUAAAGCCCAAAAUCUGCCCGGGGCCCGAAACUCGGAAGCCCAAAAUCCAAACGCAGCAUGCCUAGGGCGCGCCGCUCCAGCCUCUGCCCAACCCCUCGCACGCCUCUGCUCCGCGCCAGCCUCCACGACGCCCAUACCGUCUGACACCCCCACCACUGUCGACCACGGUCACCUGCAAAGCCAAAAAGCAGGCGCAACAACAAAGAAAAUAAUGUAAAAAAGGAAAAAUAAUUCGGUUAUAAAAACCGAAAAUCUCACUAUUAU
rnacentral:lncRNA from 1 species